rnacentral:rRNA from 1 species
UAGAUACCCUGGUAGUCCAUGCCGUAAACGUUGGGCACUAGGUGUGGGGGACAUUCCACGUUUUCCGCGCCGUAGCUAACGCAUUAAGUGCCCCGCCUGGGGAGUACGGCCGCAAGGCUAAAACUCAAAGAAAUUGACGGGGGCCCGCACAAGCGGCGGAGCAUGCGGAUUAAUUCGAUGCAACGCGAAGAACCUUACCAAGGCUUGACAUGAACCGGAAAGGCGUAGAAAUACGUCCCCCACUUGUGGU